AGCAGCCGCGGUAAUUCCAGCUCCAAUAGCGUAUAUUAAAGUUGUUGCAGUUAAAAAGCUCGUAGUUGAAUUUCGGGAUCAAUAUGUCUGUCGUGCCUUCGGUACGUACGGGUAUAAUUGGUUUCUACCUUCUGAUGAACCUUGAUGCCAUUAAUUUGGUGUCUUGGGGACUCAGGACUGUUACCUUGAAAAAUUAGAGUGUUUAAAGCAGGCAUGCGCUUGAAUACAUUAGCAUGGAAUAAUGAAAUAGGACGUUCGAUUCUAUUUUGUUGGUUUCUAGGAUCGACGUAAUGAUUAAUAGGGAUAGUUGGGGGCAUUAGUAUUCAAUUGUCAGAGGUGAAAUUCUUGGAUUUAUUGAAGACUAACUACUGCGAAAGCAUUUGCCAAGGAUGUUUUCAUUAAUCAAGAACGAAAGUUAGGGGAUCGAAGACGAUCAGAUACCGUCGUAGUCUUAACCAUAAACUAUGCCGACUAGGGAUCAGAUG
rnacentral:sRNA from 1 species